AGGCACGUCAACGAAGACGCUGUCUGGCUGUGGGGGAUGUCGGUGGUCUGCGAGAUCUGGUUCGCCUUCUCGUGGCUACUCGACCAGCUCCCCAAGUUCUGCCCGGUGAAUCGCGCCGCCGACCUGACGGUGCUCAAGGAGAAGUUCGAGAAAUCCUCCUCCGGACGAUCCGACCUCCCCGGGAUCGACAUCUUCGUCUCCACGGCCGACCCGGAGAAGGAGCCCCCCCUGGUCACGGCCAACACCAUCCUCUCCAUCCUCGCCGCCGACUAUCCCGUGGAGAAGCUCUCCUGCUACGUCUCCGACGACGGCGGCGCUCUCCUGACCUUCGAGGCGAUGGCGGAGGCGGCGAGCUUCGCCGACAUCUGGGUCCCCUUCUGCCGGAAGCACUCCAUCGAGCCCAGGAACCCGGAGAG
rnacentral:lncRNA from 1 species